rnacentral:lncRNA from 1 species
UUCCAGUGGCUUCUCCCCCCUCUGGCUCAGAGGCCCAGGAAAGAGAGAGAAGACCAACCAAGGGGUGGCUGGAGUCCCAAGGCCAUGAACUUUCAGGAAAAUGUGACCCUGGCCAUGGCCUUGUUCACCAUCCUGACCUCCAUCUAUUUCUUCAACAAGGCUCAGCAGUGAGAAGACACAGGACCUCCCCGCACAAGAGCCCUGCCUCUCCCUCUGCCAUCGCUCUGAGGCCAGAUAAAUGUAACUGAAUCCGCACAUCCUGCUCCGCCGACCCACUGCCCUUGCGCCCGGCCUCGGGCCUACACCACACCUGGGGCUCUGUGUUUCAGAAGGGAGUGGGGUGGGGGUCCGGACUCCAGGGUCUGAGGAGAGGCAGAGAAUAUCAUUGCAGGAUCCUGCUUUUUAAAAAAUGCUCCAUGCCAAGGGCAGCGGCUCACACAUGUAAUCUCAACACUUCGGGAGGCUGAAGCAGAAAGAUUGCUUGAGGCCAGGAAUUCAAGACCAGCCUGGGCAACAUAGCAAGAUUCUGUCUCUACAAAAAAAAAUUUAAUGAGGGCAUGAUGGCACAUGCCUGUCGUCCCAGCUACUUGGGAGGCUGAGGCAGGAGGAUUGCUCGAGGCUGCAGGGAGCUAUGACCAUGCCACUCUACUCCCGCCUGGUCAACAAAGCAAGAACCUGACUCAAAAAAAAAA